rnacentral:rRNA from 1 species
GACGAACGCUGGCGGCGUGCUUAACACAUGCAAGUCGAACGGAAAGGCCCUGCUUUUGUGGGGUGCUCGAGUGGCGAACGGGGGAGUAACACGUGAGUAACCUGCCCUUGACUUUGGGAUAACUUCAGGAAACUGGGGCUAUUACCGGAUAGGAGCUCCUGCUGCAUGGUGGGGGUUGGAAAGUUUCGGCGGUUGGGGAUGGACUCGCGGCUUAUCAGCUUGUUGGUGGGGUAGUGGCUUACCAAGGCUUUGACGGGUAGCCGGCCUGAGAGGGUGACCGGCCACAUUGGGACUGAGAUACGGCCCAGACUCCUACGGGAGGCAGCAGUGGGGAAUAUUGCACAAUGGGCGGAAGCCUGAUGCAGCAACGCCGCGUGCGGGAUGACGGCCUUCGGGUUGUAAACCGCUUUCGCCUGUGACGAAGCGUGAGUGACGGUAAUGGGUAAAGAAGCACCGGCUAACUACGUG